AGCCUUUAGCAAAACUAGUAUUAAAGGUAACGCCUGCCCAGUGAAAUUUUAACGGCCGCGGUAUCCUAACCGUGCAAAGGUAGCGUAAUCACUUGUCUUAUAAAUGAAGACCUGUAUGAAUGGCUAAAUGAGUAUUUUACUGUCUCCUUUAACUAAUCAGUGAAACUGAUCUUUCAGUACAAAAGCUGAAAUAUCUUCAUAAGACGAGAAGACCCCGUGGAGCUUUAAACUUUUAACAGUAUAUCUCUAAAAGAGUAUUUAUGAUAAAAAAUUUUUAGUUGGGGCGACUUUGGAGUAAAACUCAACCUCCAAGAAAAGGCAAUGCCUGGCCUUAAGGCUCACAAGCCAAACCAUAUAGACCCAGUAUAUCUUACUGAUUAACGAACCAAGUUACCCCGGGGAUAACAGCGCCAUCUUCUUCAAGAGUUCAUAUCGACAAGAAGGUUUACGACCUCGAUGUUGGAUCAGGACACCCAAAUGGUGCAGCCGCUAUUAAAGGUUCGUUUGUUCAACGAUUAAUAGUCCU
rnacentral:rRNA from 1 species